rnacentral:rRNA from 1 species
UACGGGGGGGGCAAGCGUUGUUCGGAAUUACUGGGCGUAAAGGGCUCGUAGGUGGCCAACUAAGUCAGACGUGAAAUCCCUCAGCUUAACUGGGGAACUGCGUCUGAUACUGGAUGGCUUGAGUUCGGGAGAGGGAUGCGGAAUUCCAGGUGUAGCGGUGAAAUGCGUAGAUACCUGGAGGAACACCGGUGGCGAAGGCGGCAUCCUGGACCGACACUGACACUGAGGAGCGAAAGCCAGGGGAGCAAACGGG